rnacentral:tRNA from 1 species
GCCCAGGUGGUGUAAUGGUAGCCACGCAGGACUUAAAAUCCUGUUCCUUCGGGAGUGCGGGUCCGAGUCCCGCCCUGGGCA